AUUGAACGCUGGCGGCAUGCUUUACACAUGCAAGUCGAACGGUAACAGGGUGCUUGCACCGCUGACGAGUGGCGAACGGGUGAGUAAUGCGUCGGAACGUGCCGAGUAGUGGGGGAUAACGCAGCGAAAGUUGUGCUAAUACCGCAUACGUACUGAGGUAGAAAGUGGGGGACCUUCGGGCCUCACGCUAUUCGAGCGGCCGACGUCUGAUUAGCUAGUAGGUGAGGUAAAGGCUCACCUAGGCGACGAUCAGUAACGGGUCUGAGAGGAUGAUCCGCCACACUGGAACUGAGACACGGCCCAGACUCCUACGGGAGGCAGCAGUGGGGAAUUUUGGACAAUGGGCGAAAGCCUGAUCCAGCCAUGCCGCGUGUCUGAAGAAGGCCUUCGGGUUGUAAAGGACUUUUGUCAGGGAGGAAAUCCCUAGUGCUAAUAACACUGGGGGAUGACAGUACCUGAAGAAUAAGCACCGGCUAACUACGUGCCAGCCGCCGCGGUAA
rnacentral:rRNA from 1 species